rnacentral:lncRNA from 1 species
AGCAACCUGAGUCCCCCUUGCGGAAAGGAAUGUGGCCGCCCGACUCAAACCGGUUCAUGUUUUCUUUUGACAGGCCCAAAGCUGGAGAGUCAGUAGCGCAGGAACUGCCUCAGUGGAAGAGUUUCCAUUCUUUCCGCAUCUCAUCUCCAGAAAAGGACCUGGUGAGGAUGUUGCUAGAAAAACCAGGAAAAAGAAUGAUAGAAUGGUUGGGAUGGGUCACGAGGGUCAUCUAGUUCUACCUGCUACAAGGCAGGCGUCUUUUGCCCAAGGCGGGGUGCAGAAACUAUAGGCGUCAGGCAUGUUUCUUUGCCCCAGGGACUCAGACAGCAAGAAAAGCCAGCACAGCCCUUUUAAUCCACAUCUGAGAUGUUAUUUCUUUUUUUUAAAAAAGGUAGUUAUCUGUCAUGGAGCAGAAUUCCCCCAAACAGGGGAGUAACCUGUGCCCUUUCGGUGCUCCUUGCCUGGGCCAUGCACUCCCCCUGCCCCCCUUCGGGAAAAGGGGUUCUUGUCUGUGGCUUCCUUUGUCCUCAUUCGGCAGAGAUCUUUGGGCAGGUCUCAGCUACUGCUUGAUGGACCGUCCAGUGCCAGAGGCAGUUUAUCUGCGAUCCUCGCUGAAGCUUCCUAUGUGAUGUCGUCAUGUCUCCUCUUGCGCCCCAAGGGAGCCUGCAGGUGCAAAGGCUGUCUAACGUGGGUCCUGGCUCCAUGGGCUCCCAGAGCAUGUCCCAACUAAUAAAUCUGGGUUUUUCUUGAUGAUUGUUUGAAAAUUUGAAAAUGAAAGAAAAAUAAAUAAAUAAAUAAAUAAAUUUGGGCUUCUCAGGACAUGAUCUGGAUUGCAGAGCUUCUUGUGCUGGAUGGAUUGGAAUCUCUCAAGGGAAGGAGAAUGGUGGAGGAAAAAUUGCACUAACAUUUAAAAAUAAUUUUAUUAUUUGUACCCUGCCCAUCUGACUGGAUUGUCCCACACCUAUGGGCAGCUUCCAAGUUCCAACAAAUCUAAAAGCCUAAUAAAACGUCAAACAUAACAAAAGUUCCUGUACAGGGCUUCUUUUUGGGGAGGGGGGGGGGUCCUGGCUCUUCUUAUCUAGGGUGCAAUCUUUUUUCUUUCUGCCCCUCUCAGUAGUAUUGUUGUUGCCAUUGGUUUGUUUGCUGCUGUUUUUAUUGUUAAUUCUAACCCUAAACCCUAACCCUGAACCCUAACCCUAACCCUAAUCCCUAGCCCUAAUUCUUAAACCCUAACCCACCCCAAACCCUAACCCCCUAACCUCUAACCCUAGCCCUAACCCUUUAAUCCUAACCCCGCUAUCCCUUAAUCCUAACCUAACCCUAACCCUACCCCCUAACCAUAAACCCUAACCACUAAUGCCUAAGCCUAACCCCAAAUCCCUUGACCCCUGACCCUAACCCCUAACCCUUACCCCCAAACCCCUUGCCUAACCCCAAAUCCCUUGACCCUUGAUCUUGGCCCCUAAUCUGUAACUCCUAACCCUAAUCCCAACCCCUAACCCCUAAUCCUUACCCUUACAGCCUCCUCAGGGGGAGUUUACAGUUGUAUUUGCAUCAACAGGCUUCUCCUAUUGGUGGUUAACCCUUGAUAGACUCACCCCUUCCUGAGGGGGGUGGAAUCACGCUCUGUUGUUUUAUCCAAUGCCUAAGCCAAUACCACUCACAUGCUG